AUUGAACGCUGGCGGCAUGCUUUACACAUGCAAGUCGAGCGAGCGGCGGACGGGUGAGUAAUGUAUGGGGACUGCCCGAUAGCGGGGGAUAACUACUGGAAAUGGUGGCUAAUACCGCAUACUAUUGGAUAACCCAUAUCGGAUUAGCUAGUAGGUGGGGUAAAGGCUCACCUAGGCGACGAUCUGUAGCUGGUCUGAGAGGAUGAUCAGCCACACUGGGACUGAGAAAAGGCCCAGAAUAAGACGGAGGCAGAAGGGGGGAAAAUUGCAGAAUGGGGGAAAAACUUAUGAAGCCAUGCCGCGUGUAUGAAGAAGGAAAUAGGGUUGUAAAGUACUUUCAGUCGGAAGGCGUUACCCGCAGAAGAAGCACCGGCUGACUCCGUGCCAGCAGCCGCGGUAAUAC
rnacentral:rRNA from 1 species